GCCGAAGUGGUGGAAUUGGUAGACACGCUAUCUUGAGGGGGUAGUGGUAACAACCGUGCCGGUUCAAGUCCGGCCUUCGGCACCA
rnacentral:tRNA from 1 species